UGUUGAAAAUUUUAUCCAUUUAUAUUGUUAAAAACUAGCAGAUUGAUAGAAUAAUUAGAUAGUGACACAUGACAUGCCACGUAUACCUCAUACUGAGGUAUAGUGACCAAUUUUUAACACUAGAAAUUGAAGAAUUUUUAAUA
rfam:Gossypium arboreum cultivar AKA8401 contig_556_1, whole genome shotgun sequence.